UGGCACCUACGGGGGCCUCAAACAUAGCGGAUCAGUUAGGUCCGCAUUGCUAAACGGAAGACAGAAA
rfam:Pseudopelagicola gijangensis strain DSM 100564 genome assembly, contig: Ga0131178_113